rnacentral:rRNA from 1 species
UACGUAGGGUGCGAGCGUUAAUCGGAAUUACUGGGGGUAAAGUGUGCGCAGGUGGCCGCGCAAGUCGAGUGUGAAAUCCCCGGGCUUAACCUGGGAACUGCACUUGUGACUGCACAGCUGGAGUGCGGCAGAGGGGGAUGGAAUUCCGCGUGUAGCAGUGAAAUGCGUAGAUAUGCGGAGGAACACCGAUGGCGAAGGCAAUCCCCUGGGCCUGCACUGACGCUCAUGCACGAAAGCGUGGGGAGCAAACAGG